rnacentral:rRNA from 2 species
UGGGGAAUUUUGCACAAUGGGGGAAACCCUGAUGCAGCGACGCCGCGUGAUUUAGAAGGCCUUCGGGUUGUAAAAAUCUUUUCUAUGGGAAGAAAAUGACAGUACCAUAGGAAUAAGGACCGGCUAAUUACGUGCCAGCAGCCGCGGUAAUACGUAAGGUCCGAGCGUUGUCCGGAAUCAUUGGGCGUAAAGGGUACGUAGGCGGGUAAGCAAGUUAGAAGUGAAAUCCUAUAGCUCAACUAUAGUAAGCUUUUAAAACUGCUCAUCUUGAAGUAUGGAAGGGAAAGUGGAAUUCCUAGUGUAGCGGUGAAAUGCGCAGAUAUUAGGAGGAAUACCGGUGGCGAAGGCGACUUUCUGGCCAUAACCUGACGCUGAGGUACGAAAGCGUGGGUAGCAAACAGG